CACGCCACCUGCUCCUGUUCGCACCUCACCAACUUUGCCAUCCUGAUGGAUUACCAUGAAUACGUGGGCACACCACUGUCACUGAGCGUGCUGACCUGGCUGCUGGGCACACUCUCCGUCAUCUGCCUCAUCCUGACCUGGGUUGUAUUCACGUUCACCAGAUCGCUGCGCUGCUGCCGCACCACCAUCACACGCCACCUGUGCGCCACAUACGCCGCCGG